UUUUUUUUAUUAGCAAACAAUAUAUUAUAAAGGAGUACAAAGGGGUACUCAAUCCCUCACAAUAUAAAGCAAAUUAUAGUAUGCUUUGAAGACAUACAAUAGGAUCUAAACACCAUUCAGAAAAAGAGAAAGAUGACUUACGGCCAAAACGACCCCUAAACCAAAACCAAGAAAAAGUUUUAAUAUCAUCUACAAGUUUGGAAACAUCCGGUAAGACUCCAUUAAAA
rnacentral:lncRNA from 1 species